rnacentral:rRNA from 1 species
AUGACCCUAAGCCUACCCACUCGCUAUAUAUUCAGCCUAACCCUAGACCCUAGCUGUCCCAUCCACCCAUUCCGCCUGCCGCCACCGCUUGGUCGCUCCCCUCGGGAUCCCCCCUCGAUCCAGAUCCACCAACCUCGCAGUGCCCCAAUCCAUCCAUCCCAUCCUGCCUCCGACCAUCAUCCUCAAUUUCAGCGCCACCCAACCAACCACCGCACCAGCGCCAUGCCCUGCUUCCUAUCUCCUCCCUGUCUCGCCCGGUGCCCGAUCUGCAUCGCGUCGCUGCCUACGUUCCCCGCUGCAGCCAGCCUCCACCGGAGCUCCCUCCGCCGACGAGCAUCACCAGCCCCAGGCCUGUGCUCGACAACCCUGCUCCCUUUCCCCUCCUGCUUCUGUUUUCUGUCUCUCACCCUGCUCUCUCUCUCUCUCUCUGUUGUCUUCGCAGCAACACCAUGGAUGGCCUCCCGUAGCUCCCGCUUGUUGCGCCGGCGUGGUUCCCGGCCGAUCCGCGCCGAAGAGCCUCGGACUCGUCCAGCCCCUUCAUCCCUCGACGCCGAGUUCCUCUGCUUCACCUGCAAGUCCGCUUCCCCGCCGGUCCAUCACCGUUGCCAGCCAUCGGCCUUGCCUCUGCUUCGAACGACAGGACAGCACCUCGCCCUAUGCCUCCUCCUCGACCCCGCCAGGAGCCGUCCUCGCCAUCGUCCUCGCAGCAGGAGCUCUGAAGCGCCGGCGCCGCUAGGUUCGACCGGGCCCGAGGUCCUCCGUCCAUUCACCGGCGUUCCCCUCCGGAUCCCGUCGCCAGAGCCCCAUCCCCGCUGCUCCUCCUCGUCGUCUUCUUCCUGUGCGCCGUCAACGGCCGGUCUUCUUCGAGCAGAGGAAGACGCCCGCUCGCCCGCGCCCCGCGUUGACCGCGUCCUGCUUCAUCCCAGCGUGGGCCAGCGCCUCCCCAAGGCCCAGCCUCCUCUCCACAAGCCGGGCCUUAGCCCAGGGUGA